AACCAACACAUAACACAUAAUCCAAACAUCCAUCACUCAAUAUAACCUUAAUCAAUAUUCAAUAAACCAAUACCAUUAAACAAGUUACCAUUAGUACAUGUCUCUACUACGUAGUAACACGGCAUGUGUAUAGUACAUGCCAAUACAAUCCUUUGAAACACUUAAACAAUAGAGAACAUUAAGCUUUGCUCCGGCCAAUUCCUCCGAGCUCCAGCUAAUCACAAUACCUGUGAAUGUGUCCACAAUAUAUGUCAUUCUACACCAUUAACCAGUAAACUAGAAGUUCCACGCUUUAGCAGUUCAUGAUUAGUGUGAUUGUUUGAUGUUUGUUUAUCAAGACAUGGCUUCAGGUUCCAGUCGUAAACUCCAGGCGUAACAGUUCAGAACUCAAGAAGCUAGAGACGGUGGAGUAAUGUGAAUAGUGGCGAAUUCGUACCGACUGAACCGAAGAGAUCUUCACGUGGACCGCAGCAGCACUGUCAGAGCCAUUGAUUUUGUCCGACUUCGCCUCAGUUGGUUUUUUCUGUAAUCGUGUUCUACUUGUAGUCCUCUGCAUCAACCAAGACUUAAACUGGUGAGUUAUCCUUCUUUUCAAGCUCGAUCAUGUCAUUAAUGGAAACAGAAGCUCUAAUCAAUACUCAAGUACUGAAGUGUCUGCAGUUAAUUGAAGAGAUCAACGACCAAACCGCUGUAUUAUCAAUCGAAUAUAAUAGAUUCAUCUAGAUAGCCAUUUCCAUAAAUAUCAUAGCAUCUUUUACCUCAGGGACAGCCGCUCCUGGUCCGCAUAUUCCCUCUGAAAAUUGAAGACACCUGCACUUUUGUUGUCCUGAUUACGUGUUACAAAAUGGAACCCAUGCAUCCAUGCAAAGUGAAGAAUGGCGCAAGAAGCCGUCCCCUUUCAUUUCUUAUGUGGCGAUCAUUCAAUUCACUCCCUUCCAUUAUAAAUACCCCAAAUAAACUUCACCGAAAAUAUCAUCACCACUGCUUGCUCAUCCAAAAAGAUACACACCAUGGCUAGAUCAAGCCCUUUGCUUCUGACAUUCUGCAUCUUCGCCAUCCUCUUCCACUCUUCUCUGGGUAGGCAGCAAUUCCAGCAGGGUAACGAGUGCCAGAUCGAC
rnacentral:lncRNA from 1 species